CUAACACACAUCACACACGAAAACACAUCACACAAGCACACAUCACGCACGCUAACACACAUCACACACUAACACACAUCACACACUAACACACAUCACACGUGCUAAAACACAUCACACAAGCACACAUCACACACGCUAACACACAUCACACACUAACACACAUCACACACUAACACACAUCACACGUGCUAAAACACGUCACACAAGCACACAUCACACACACUAACACAUCACACAAGCACACAUCACACACGCUAACACAUCACACACUAACACACAUCACACGUGCUAAAACACAUCACACAAGCACACAUCACAC
rnacentral:lncRNA from 1 species